CUUUGCAAGCAUGUAGCUACUCGUCUCCAGUUUGCAAAAACUGGGGAGGGGAGGAAAGUCCGGACACCACCCAAAGCUCGGAGAGUGGAUAACAUCCACCGGGGGCAACCCCAGGGAAAGUGCCACAGAGACUAUACUACUCAUCUCCAAAACUGGGGAUGGGAAAAGGUGAAAAGCUGCAGAGUGUGGGCUGUGCGUGAAGAACCAGGCCAAACCUGGUAAUUUGCUCCCUUCUCGCUAUCUGCAGGGCUCCGCCGUGAGGCGGAUGACCCGGUAAACCCUUUCCGGUGCAAGUUGGGCUGGAGUGUCGCAAGCAACAGGAUAGAGCUUUGGCUGGCUUGCGGCAAACCCCAACGCUCGAUCCUGCCAGUAAUGGCAGGGCUAGAUAGAUGGCUACUUCACUUAGCUAAAGGUUCGUCGCUUGACGAACCAAAGGCAGGCAAGACAGAAUCCGGCUUAUCGCUUGCAAAGAGCU
rnacentral:RNase_P_RNA from 2 species